AGGUUGUGUGAAAAUAUUACUGAUGUUUAACGUUAAAAAUGGACCAAAAGAUUAAUGCUAAACAACAUUUGACAUGUUUGAACGAACAUAAAUAGAUUAUUUACUAGUUUUUUUUAGCUUUUCGGCAUGAUUUUACAGUCCCCCCACCACGUUUUGUGGGAGCAUAAUGAACGCUAAGUACUUGGUGUUAUUUGGACAUAAAUUAUGAACUUUGUCAAAAGAAACCACAUUUGUUCCGGACCUGGGAUGCCUUCCGGACCUGGGAUGCCUGUCUUCUGAUGGAGAUAAUCAAAGUUUUCUUGAAAGCACCAUAAAUCCAGAGAAUGACAGAAUUAAUUGAUGGCAAAAUGUGAUGACAAACUUUGUCCACGAAGGACUGCCACGCCACCUUCCUGUUCAAGAGAGCACAGCACAACAAGCCAGGUCACCAGUGAUACUAGUCAGUGUUGGACAUCCAUCCAUGUCUGAGGAUGUCAGGAGAUGACAUGGAAACUGGCCACCAGGAGCAACAGUGAGCACUGUUACCUUCAAACAUUAUUAUGAGCCUUCCUCCCCUCAGCAGCCUCCACUGGUCUGAAGGUUAACAAUGAGGUAAGAUAUGGCGGACAUUUAUACAAGAGGGAUUUAUAGAUAAAAUCUCUGAAGCUGGAGACUCUUACCUCCCUCACUAGCUUUAAGCACCAGCUGUCAGAGCAGCUCACAGAUCACUGCACCUGUACAUAGCCCAUCUGUAAAUAACCCAUCCAAUCUACCUCAUCCCCAUACUGUAUUUAUUUAUUUAUCUUGCUCCUUUGCACCCCAGUAUCUCAACUUGCACAUUUAUACUCUGCACAUCCUACCAUUCCAGUGUUUAAUUGUAGGUUCAUGCUCUACAACAUUCGCAGAGUACGACCCUGCCUCACACAGGAAGC
rnacentral:lncRNA from 1 species